rnacentral:rRNA from 1 species
CCCUACGGGAGGCAGCAGUAGGGAAUCUUCCACAACGGGCGAAAGCCUGAUGGAGCAACGCCGCGUGGGUGAAGAAGGUCUUCGGAUCGUAAAACCCUGUUGUUAGAGAAGAAAGUGCGUGAGAGUAACUGUUCACGUUUCGACGGUAUCUAACCAGAAGGCCACGGCUAACUACGUGCCAGCAGCCGCGGUAAUACGUAGGUGGCAAGCGUUAUCCGGAUUUAUUGGGCGUAAAGGGAACGCAGGCGGUCUUUUAAGUCUGAUGUGAAAGCCUUCGGCUUAACCGGAGUAGUGCAUUGGAAACU